rnacentral:rRNA from 1 species
GUGCAUGGCAGACGGGUGAGUAACGCGUGGGGAAUCUACCUCUUUGUGGGGAAUAACGCUCCGAAAGGAGUGGUAAUACCGCAUGAGAUCCAUGGCUGGGAUGCUGUGGAUGAAACCUGGGGACCGCAAGGCCUGGGGCAAGGAGAGGAUCCUGCGUCUGAUUAGCUAGUUGGUGAGGUAAUGGCCCACCAAGGCGACGAUCAGUAGCCGGCCUGAGAGGGUGAUCGGCCACACUGGAACUGAGACACGGUCCAGACUCCUACGGGAGGCAGCAGUGGGGAAUUUUGCGCAAUGGGCGAAAGCCUGACGCAGCAACGCCGCGUGGGUGAUGAAGGUCUUCGGAUCGUAAAACCCUGUCGUCGGGGACGAAGGUGGAGGGGUUAAUAGCCUCUUUGCUUGACGGUACCCGGAGAGGAAGCCCCGGCUAACUCUGUGCCAGCAGCCGCGGUAAUACAGAGGGGGCAAGCGUUAUUCGGAAUUAUUGGGCGUAAAGGGCGCGUAGGCGGCUUUUUAAGUGAGAUGUGUAAUCCCUGAGCUCAACUUGGGAACUGCAUCUCAUACUGGGAGGCUAGAGUACUGGAGAGGGUGGUAGAAUUCCACGUGUAGCGGUGAAAUGCGUAGAGAUGUGGAGGAAUACCAGUGGCGAAGGCGGCCACCUGGACAGUAACUGAC